AACGAACGCUGGCGGCAUGCCUAACACAUGCAAGUCGAACGAGACCUUCGGGUCUAGUGGCGCACGGGUGCGUAACGCGUGGGAACCUGCCCUUAGGUUCGGAAUAACUCCCCGAAAGGGGUGCUAAUACCGGAUAAUGUCUUCGGACCAAAGAUUUAUCGCCUUUGGAUGGGCCCGCGUUGGAUUAGCUAGUUGGUAGGGUAAAAGCCUACCAAGGCGACGAUCCAUAGCUGGUCUGAGAGGAUGAUCAGCCACACUGGGACUGAGACACGGCCCAGACUCCUACGGGAGGCAGCAGUGGGGAAUAUUGGAAAAUGGGCGAAAGCCUGAUCCAGCAAUGCCGCGCGAGUGAUGAAGGCCUUAGGGUUGUAAAGCUCUUUUACCCGGGAUGAUAAUGACAGUACCGGGAGAAUAAGCUCCGGCUAACUCCGUG
rnacentral:rRNA from 1 species